rnacentral:sRNA from 1 species
GACUUUAGUUUCAAUUGAAACAAAUUUGAACUAAAUAAUAAAUAUGACUGUAAUUCUACAGUUUUACAAUUGUAAAUAUAGACUGUAUGAAAGACUACAUAUUUUCAGAUUGUGUGUGUAUAAGGAUAUAACUGAGGAAAAUAAAUUGAUAAUACUCAUUAGCAUAUGAGUGUUGUAUAAAUUUACACCUGUGGUAUGAGCAAAAUGAAAUUUAACUGUAGAGGAAUGAUGCCGUGCAACUUUAUCUUCAACUUUGAAUGAGAAAAGAGACUUUCUUCCCCGUUAAUUUCCUACAGUUUAGAUUUUAUAUUUGAAAGGGACUCUAGAAGUCAACAAAUUCAACCCUAAUUGAUGUGUGGAAUAGUUUUUUUCUUCAUCUUUUUUUUUCUCUCUUAGCACCUUCUAGCCACCAUGGCAACCUCAUCUGAAGAAGUUUUGCUGAUUGUAAAGAAAGUGCGUCAAAAGAAGCAGGAUGGAGCUCUAUACCUCAUGGCAGAAAGAAUUGCUUGGGCACCUGAAGGCAAAGAUAGAUUUACAAUCAGCCAUAUGUAUGCAGAUAUUAAAUGCCAGAAAAUUAGUCCAGAAGGAAAAGCUAAAAUUCAGCUUCAGCUGGUCCUACAUGCAGGGGACACAACUAACUUCCAUUUUUCCAAUGAAAGCACAGCAGUGAAAGAGCGAGAUGCAGUAAAAGACCUUCUUCAGCAGCUGCUGCCCAAAUUCAAGAGGAAAGCAAAUAAAGAACUGGAAGAGAAGAACAGAAUGCUGCAAGAAGAUCCUGUUUUGUUUCAGCUUUAUAAAGACCUUGUUGUGAGUCAAGUGAUCAGUGCUGAGGAAUUCUGGGCCAAUCGUUUAAAUGUGAAUGCAACAGAUAGUUCUUCCACAUCCAAUCAUAAGCAGGAUGUUGGCAUUUCUGCUGCAUUUCUGGCUGAUGUCCGGCCCCAAACUGAUGGGUGUAAUGGUCUAAGAUAUAAUUUAACUUCUGAUAUCAUUGAGUCCAUAUUUAGGACCUAUCCAGCAGUAAAAAUGAAAUACGCAGAAAACGUUCCCCAUAACAUGACAGAGAAGGAAUUCUGGACACGUUUUUUCCAGUCCCAUUAUUUUCACAGGGAUCGGCUGAAUACAGGGUCAAAGGAUCUCUUUGCAGAAUGUGCCAAAAUAGAUGAAAAAGGCCUAAAAACAAUGGUUUCAUUAGGAGUGAAAAACCCACUACUAGAUUUAACAGCUUUGGAAGAUAAACCAUUAGAUGAGG